rnacentral:tRNA from 1 species
UGUGUAGCUCAUUGGGUAGAGCGCAGGACUGAUAAUCCUGGGGUAGCGGGUUCGAAUCCCGCCACAACCA